GGAACUGUAGCUCAAAAGUAGAGUACUCCGUUGACAUCGGAGGGGUAGUGGGAGCGUUACCCACCAGUUCCACCA
rnacentral:tRNA from 1 species